GCCCCGGUAGCUCAGUUGGACAGAGCGGCGGUUUCCUAAACCGCAGGUCGGAGGUUCAAUCCCUCUCCGGGGUA
rnacentral:tRNA from 1 species